CGAGUCUAGAGGCCUAGCCUCGGCGUACCGCUCAGUAACACGUGGGCCCUUUACCCUAUGCUGGGGGAUAAGCUCGGGAAACUGAGAAUAAUACCCCAUAGUCCACUACGCCUGGAACGGUGAGUGGAUCAAAGCUCCGGCGGCAUAGGAUGGGCCUGCGGCGUAUCAGGUUGUAGGGGGUGUAACGUACCCUCUAGCCAUCCACGCGUACGGGUGUUGGGAGACAUUGCCCGGAGAUGGAUUCUGAGACACGAAUCCAGACCCUACGGGGUGCAGCAGGCGCGAAAACUUGGCAAUGCGAGAAAUCGUGACCAGGGAACUCCAAGUGGCAGGGGUAAGACCCUGUCUUUUUCCGACUCUAAAUAGGUCGGCGAAUAAGGGGUGGGUAAGGACGGUGCCAGCCGCCGCGGUAAUACCGGCGCCUCAAGUGGUAGUCGCUUUUAUUGGGCCUAAAACGUCCGUAGCCGGUCUGGUACAUUCGUGGGUAAAUCAACUCGCUUAACGAGUUGAAUUCUGCGAGGACGGCCAGACUUGGGACCGGGAGAGGUGUGGGGUACUCUCAGGGUAGGGGUAAAAUCCUGUCAUCCUGAGAGGACCACCUGUUGCGAAGGCUCCACACUAGAACGGAUCCGACGGUCAGGGACGAAGCCUAGGGGCACGAACCGGAUUAGAUACCCGGGUAGUCCUAGGUGUAAACGCUGUGGACUUGAUG
rnacentral:rRNA from 1 species